rnacentral:rRNA from 1 species
UCGAGAAUCUUCCACCAAUGUGCGAAAGCAUGAUGGAGCGACGCCGCGUGGACGAUGAAGGCCUUCGGGUUGUAAAGUCCUGUCACCUGGGCCUAAUCCCUCAGGGUUAAUACCCCUUGAGGUUGAAGUCCCAGGGGAGGAAGCACCGGCUAAAUUCGUGCCAGCAGCCGCGGUAAUACGAAUGGUGCAAGCGUUGUUCGGAAUCACUGGGCAUAAAGCGCUCGUAGGCGGUGAUGUAAGUCAGUUGUGAAAUCCCUUGGCUCAACCAAGGAACUGCAACUGAAACUGCGUCGCUAGAGUGCGGGAGGGGAGAACGGAAUUCCUGGUGGAGCGGUGAAAUGCGUAGAUAUCAGGAGGAACGCCGGAGGCGAAAGCGGUUCUCUGGCCCGCUACUGACGCUGAGGAGCGAAAGCUAGGGGAGCAAACAGGAUUAGAUACCCGCGUAGUCC